rnacentral:rRNA from 1 species
UAAAAAAAGGUAAGCUACUAAGAGCGAAUGGUGGAUGCCUUGACUGGUAAAGGCGAUGAAGGACGUACUAGACUGCGAUAAGCUACGGGGAGCUGUCAAGAAGCUUUGAUCCGUAGAUUUCCGAAUGGGGCAACCCAAUGUAUAGAGAUAUACAUUACCUAUAUAGGAGCGAACGAGGGGAAUUGAAACAUCUUAGUACCCUCAGGAAAAGAAAUCAAUAGAGAUUGUGUCAGUAGCGGCGAGCGAAAGCGCAAGAGGGCAAACCCAGUGCUUGCACUGGGGGUUGUAGGACUGCAAUGUGCAAGAGCUGAGUUUAGCAGAACAUUCUGGAAAGUAUAGCCAUAGAGGGUGAUAGUCCCGUAUGCGAAAAACAAAGCUUAGCUAGCAGUAUCCUGAGUAGGGCGGGACACGAGGAAUCCUGUCUGAAUCCGGGUCGACCACGAUCCAACCCUAAAUACUAAUACCAGAUCGAUAGUGCACAAGUACCGUGAGGGAAAGGUGAAAAGAACUGAGGUGAUCAGAGUGAAAUAGAACCUGAAACCAUUUGCUUACAAUCAUUCAGAGCACUAUGUAGCAAUACAGUGUGAUGGACUGCCUUUUGCAUAAUGAGCCUGCGAGUUGUGGUGUCUGGCAAGGUUAAGCAAACGCGAAGCCGUAGCGAAAGCGAGUCUGAAUAGGGCGCUUAGUCAGAUGCUGCAGACCCGAAACGAAGUGAUCUAUCCAUGAGCAAGUUGAAGCUAGUGUAAGAACUAGUGGAGGACUGAACCCAUAGGCGUUGAAAAGCCCCGGGAUGACUUGUGGAUAGGGGUGAAAGGCCAAUCAAACUUCGUGAUAGCUGGUUCUCUCCGAAAUAUAUUUAGGUAUAGCGUUGUGUCGUAAUAUAAGGGGGUAGAGCACUGAAUGGGCUAGGGCAUACACCAAUGUACCAAACCCUAUCAAACUCCGAAUACCUUAUAUGUAAUCACAGCAGUCAGGCGGCGAGUGAUAAAAUCCGUCGUCAAGAGGGAAACAACCCAGACUACCAGCUAAGGUCCCUAAAUCUUACUUAAGUGGAAAACGAUGUGAAGUUACUUAAACAACCAGGAGGUUGGCUUAGAAGCAGCCAUCCUUUAAAGAAAGCGUAAUAGCUCACUGGUCUAGUGAUUUUGCGCGGAAAAUAUAACGGGGCUAAAGUAAGUACCGAAGCUGUAGACUUGCGCACAACUUAGAUUAUUUAAGUUUAGAAUAUGAGAAACUAAGUUAUAUUUUUACUGAUUUUUAUAGAGUAAAGAUAGAAAUAAAACUUAGUAAAAUCAGUAAAAAUAUUCUUAGGCUAAAGUUAAGUAGUUUAAGUUGUGUGCAAGUGGUAGGAGAGCGUUCUAUUUGCGUCGAAGGUAUACCGGUAAGGAGUGCUGGAGCGAAUAGAAGUGAGCAUGCAGGCAUGAGUAGCGAUAAUUAAUGUGAGAAUCAUUAACGCCGUAAACCCAAGGUUUCCUACGCGAUGCUCGUCAUCGUAGGGUUAGUCGGGUCCUAAGUCGAGUCCGAAAGGGGUAGACGAUGGCAAAUUGGUUAAUAUUCCAAUACCAACAUUAGUGUGCGAUGGAAGGACGCUUAGGGCUAAGGGGGCUAGCGGAUGGAAGUGCUAGUCUAAGGUCGUAGGAGGUUAUACAGGAAAAUCCGUAUAACAAUACUCCGAGAACUGAAAGGCUUUUUGAAGUCUUCGGAUGGAUAGAAGAACCCCUGAUGCCGUCGAGCCAAGAAAAGUUUCUAAGUUUAGCUAAUGUUGCCCGUACCGUAAACCGACACAGGUGGGUGGGAUGAGUAUUCUAAGGCGCGUGGAAGAACUCUCUUUAAGGAACUCUGCAAAAUAGCACCGUAUCUUCGGUAUAAGGUGUGGUUAGCUUCGUACUAGGAUUUACUCCGAAAGCGAAGAAACUUACAACAAAGAGUCCCUCCCGACUGUUUACCAAAAACACAGCACUCUGCUAACUCGUAAGAGGAUGUAUAGGGUGUGACGCCUGCCCGGUGCUCGAAGGUUAAUUGAUGGGGUUAGCAUUAGCGAAGCUCUUGAUCGAAGCCCGAGUAAACGGCGGCCGUAACUAUAACGGUCCUAAGGUAGCGAAAUUCCUUGUCGGUUAAAUACCGACCUGCAUGAAUGGCGUAACGAGAUGGGAGCUGUCUCAAAGAGGGAUCCAGUGAAAUUGUAGUGGAGGUGAAAAUUCCUCCUACCCGCGGCAAGACGGAAAGACCCCGUGGACCUU